rnacentral:tRNA from 1 species
CUGUCUGUAGCCCGACUGGUUUAGCGUGUGGGCUCGUAUGCCUCAGGUCUAGGGUUCGAUCCCCCGCAGACCCC